GCCCUCAGGCAGUGGGAAGCCAUUCCCCCUUGUCCCGUCCCUCCAUCCCUUUCCAUCCCCAGUCCCUCUCCAGCUCUCCUGGAGCCCCUUUAGGCAUUGGGAGCGGCUCUCAGGUCUCCC